AGAGUUUGAUCAUGGCUCAGAACAAACGCUGGCGGCGUGCCUAACACAUGCAAGUCGUACGAGAAAGUCCGCUUCGGUGGAUGAGUAAAGUGGCGCACGGGUGAGUAACGCGUGGAUAAUCUACCCUUUAGUCUGGAAUAACUUAUCGAAAGGUGAACUAAUACCGGAUAAUAUCCCGAUUUCUUCGGCGAUCGGGAUCAAAGAAGGCCUCUGCUUGCAAGCUUUCACUGAAGGAUGAGUCCGCGUACCAUUAGCUAGUUGGCAGGGUAAUGGCCUACCAAGGUUAUGAUGGUUAGCGGGUCUGAGAGGAUGAUCAGCCACACUGGAACUGAAACACGGUCCAGACUCCUACGGGAGGCAGCAGUGAGGAAUAUUGCGCAAUGGGGGCAACCCUGACGCAGCAACGCCGCGUGAGUGAGGAAGGUUUUCGGAUUGUAAAGCUCUGUCGAGCGGAAAGAAGUGCAUGGUGGUUAAUAUCCAUCAUGCUUGACGGUACCGCUAAAGGAAGCACCGGCUAACUCCGUGCCAGCAGCCGCGGUAAUACGGGGGGUGCAAGCGUUGUUCGGAAUCAUUGGGCGUAAAGCGCGUGUAGGCGGCUGGACAAGUCAGAUGUGAAAGCCCUGGGCUUAACCCAGGAAGUGCAUUUGAAACUGUUCAGCUAGAGUAAGGGAGAGGAAAGUGGAAUUCCUGGUGUAGAGGUGAAAUUCGUAGAUAUCAGGAGGAACACCGGUGGCGAAGGCGACUUUCUGGCCCUAUACUGACGCUGAGACGCGAAAGCGUGGGUAGCAAACAGGAUUAGAUACCCUGGUAGUCCACGCUGUAAACGAUGUUCACUAGGUGUUGGGGGUAUUGACCCUUCCAGUGCCGCAGCUAACGCAUUAAGUGAACCGCCUGGGGAGUACGGUCGCAAGAUUAAAACUCAAAUGAAUUGACGG
rnacentral:rRNA from 1 species